rnacentral:rRNA from 1 species
AUGAACGCUGGCGGCGUGCCUAAUACAUGCAAGUCGAGCGAACAGACGAGGAGCUUGCUCCUCUGACGUUAGCGGCGGACGGGUGAGUAACACGUGGAUAACCUACCUAUAAGACUGGGAUAACCUCGGGAAACCGGAGCUAAUACCGGAUAAUAUAUUGAACCGCAUGGUUCAAUAGUGAAAGACGGUUUUGCUGUCACUUAUAGAUGGAUCCGCGCCGCAUUAGCUAGUUGGUAAGGUAACGGCUUACCAAGGCGACGAUGCGUAGCCGACCUGAGAGGGUGAUCGGCCACACUGGAACUGAGACACGGUCCAGACUCCUACGGGAGGCAGCAGUAGGGAAUCUUCCGCAAUGGGCGAAAGCCUGACGGAGCAACGCCGCGUGAGUGAUGAAGGUCUUCGGAUCGUAAAACUCUGUUAUUAGGGAAGAACAAAUGUGUAAGUAACUAUGCACGUCUUGACGGUACCUAAUCAGAAAGCCACGGCUAACUACGUG